AAACCAACAGGGAUUGCCUCAGUAACGGCGAGUGAAGCGGCAAAAGCUCAAAUUUGAAAUCUAGCACCUUCGGUGUUUGAGUUGUAAUUUGACGAUGGUAACCUUGGGUUUGGCUCUUGUCUAUGUUCCUUGGAACAGGACGUCAUAGAGGGUGAGAAUCCCGUCUGAUGAGAUGCCCAUUCCUAUGUAAGGUGCUAUCGAAGAGUCGAGUUGUUUGGGAAUGCAGCUCUAAGUGGGUGGUAAAUUCCAUCUAAAGCUAAAUAUUGGCGAGAGACCGAUAGCGAACAAGUACAGUGAUGGAAAGAUGAAAAGAACUUUGAAAAGAGAGUGAAAAAGUACGUGAAAUUGUUGAAAGGGAAGGGCAUUAGAUCAGACUUGGUGUUUUACGAUUAUCUUCUCUUCUUGAGUUGUGCACUCGUAUUUCACUGGGCCAGCAUCGAUUCGGAUGGCAAGAUAAUGGCAGUUGAAUGUGGCUUCACUUCGGUGGAGUGUUAUAGCUUCUGCUGAUAUUGCCUGUCUGGAUCGAGGGCUGCGUCUUUUGACUAGGAUGCUGGCGUAAUGAUCUAAUGCCGC
rnacentral:rRNA from 1 species